rnacentral:lncRNA from 1 species
UCCUCAGCCUGGCGGUUCUACCUCCGAGGGUUCGCCCGCCCUUGGUUUUCCUUACACCUUAGCCUUUGGCUCCUUUGACCACUCGAAGCCCCACAGCGUGUUCCAGCGGACUUCACCAGCAGACCCAGAAGUGGUGGGUGAAACACUGCCUCUGUUCCUCCUUGAGCCUGUCGGGAGCUGCUGCCUGCCACCACCAUGCUGCUGCAAAUCCUGAGACUCCAAACUCAACCAUCUCCAGAGAGGCCAGCACCCAGUCUUCAUCAGCUGCAGCUAGCCAAGGCUGGGUGUUACCAGAAGGCAAAAUCGUGCCAAACACUGUUUUUGUUGGUGGAAUUGAUGCUAGGUGGAUGAAACUGAGAUUGGAAGCUGCUUUGGUAGAUACGGUUCAGUGAAAGAAGUGAAGAUAAUCACGAAUCGAACUGGUGUGUCCAAAGGUAUGGAUUUGUUUCGUUUGUUAAUGACGUGGAUGUCCAGAAGAUAGUAGGACACAGAUACAUUUCCAUGGUAAAAAGCUGAAGCUGGGCCCUGCAAUCAGGAAACAAAAGUUAUUGCUCGUCAUGUGCAGCCACGUCCUUUGGUAGUUAAUCCUCCUCCUCCACCACAGUUUCAGAACGUCUGGCGGAAUCCAAACACUGAAACCUACCUGCAGCCCCAAAUCACGCCGAAUCCUGUAACUCAGCACGUUCAGCUGCUGCAAAUCCUGAGACUCCAAACUCAACCAUCUCCAGAGAGGCCAGCACCCAGUCUUCAUCAGCUGCAGCUAGCCAAGGCUGGGUGUUACCAGAAGGCAAAAUCGUGCCAAACACUGUUUUUGUUGGUGGAAUUGAUGCUAGGUGGAUGAAACUGAGAUUGGAAGCUGCUUUGGUAGAUACGGUUCAGUGAAAGAAGUGAAGAUAAUCACGAAUCGAACUGGUGUGUCCAAAGGUAUGGAUUUGUUUCGUUUGUUAAUGACGUGGAUGUCCAGAAGAUAGUAGGACACAGAUACAUUUCCAUGGUAAAAAGCUGAAGCUGGGCCCUGCAAUCAGGAAACAAAAGUUAUUGCUCGUCAUGUGCAGCCACGUCCUUUGGUAGUUAAUCCUCCUCCUCCACCACAGUUUCAGAACGUCUGGCGGAAUCCAAACACUGAAACCUACCUGCAGCCCCAAAUCACGCCGAAUCCUGUAACUCAGCACGUUCAG